GGCUUAGUGGUCUAGUCGUAUGAUUGUCGCUUCGGGUAGUUGAAAAAUAUCCUUCCAUUAAACGUGGAUGUGACAGGUCCCGGGUUCAAAUCCCGGCUGAGCCC